CCUACGGGUGGCAGCAGUGAGGAAUAUUGGUCACUGGGCGAGAGCCUGACCCAGCCAAGUCGCGUGAGGGAGUACUGCCCUAUGGGUUGUCAACCUCUUGUGUCGGGGAGCAACAGCAGGACGUGUCCGGCUGUGAGAGUACCCGAAGAAAAAGCAUCGGCUAACUCCGUGCCAGCAGCCGCGCUAAUACGUAGGAUUCGAGCGUUAUCCGGAUUUAUUGGGGUUAAAGGGUGCGCAGGCGGAUGUGUAAGUCAGCGGUCAAAUCGUGGGGCUCAACCCCAUCCAGCCGUUGAAACUGGGGAUCUAGAGUGUGCGAAAGGUAUGCGGAAUGCGUGGUGUAGCGGUGAAAUGCAUAGAUAUCACGCAGAACCCCGAUUGCGAAGGCAGCAUACCGGUGCACAACUGACGCUCAGGCACGAAAGCGUGGGUAUCGAACAGGAUUAGAUACCCCGGUAGUC
rnacentral:rRNA from 1 species